CAGCGUAGGGAAAAACCGCUCGUAGGGAAUCCGUUCGGAUGGUAGUGAUGAUGAUGAUAAUCAUGUCAUAUAACACCUGAGACUGUGGUCGAAGAAAUUGGAAACUUUUUAAUAGAAGGAUCAGACACAAAAAGGGACGUCUCAAACUCAGCUAACUGGUUUAUUUCUCGACCAUCCUAUAUCAUGAUUGACUUGCCCACUGGCGCCAACCUGGCCUCGCUGUUUUCAACGGUUCUCAGGUGCUCAGGUUGCCGGAGCGGCGUGUUUGAACCGUUUGAACCACAGGCACCACAGGUUUGAACCGUUUCAACGGGAGUAAUGGCAAAACGGACGGAGUAGCACUGCGUGGCCUCGCAAUCCCAGCGACCCGACGAGCUCGCAAAGCGGUGCUCGGAAGACGACGCUCCCAAAGCCGACGACGCGCACUCACCUCUGUGGACAGCGAAGAAACAUCGUCGCACUGUGACAACGGCGACUAGUACACGGCGACUAGUACACGGCAUAAGUACAAGUGCAUGAUUUGUGAGAUGUGCUUCAAGAAAAUCUACAACUUAAAGAGGCACCUAAAGGAGGUUCACGGGGACGCUGACACCAGCUGGAUCACACUGUCCGCUGCCGCCUUGCAUGCGAUCUGUGUCCAACAGCUUUUGCAUUCCAUUGGGAACUUGCUGCGCCACUUUGAAGCGAAACACGGGAUCGUCGCGAGGCGUGACAAGUUAAAGUUCAAUUUGUUGAAAGGUGCACGGUCCUCAAAAAGCUUGCGCACCAACUGCACUGAUCAAAGCUAUGCAACUCAGAGUACUCCUGGAGAAGCGGCAAUCAGUUCAUUGCAUGACGUUUCAUCGACAGCUCAGAUUACCUUUUUUUCUGUAAUAAGCUGCAUGAGACUGUCACUGCGACAGUCUCGUGCAGUGUCGGUAAGAAUUCAGCGACUGGAGGGAGGCUAAGGAUGGCAGAGAGCAUGUUCGCUUCAUUCUCCACGACGGACCCAAGGGACGAGAUGAGGGUUUCCUGAAAAGGUAUUACUACUGCCACCGCUCUGGAUCAUUUCAGAGCAAGAGGUAAAUGACAACUGAGAACCCAGGGCACUUGUAAGACUAAUGUGCAAUGCUUAGCCACAAUUCAAGCUACAGAGAAAGAUGGCAAGGUGACAGUAGAGUACCAGGCAGAACACUACGGCCACCCGAAGGAACUGAAGCACCAGCGCCUCUUUACGACUGAGAAGGAGGCUUUAGCUGAUAAACUAAAGCAAGGCAUCCCUGCCCGUAAAGAUCUGGUAGACGCACAUUCUUCUGCUGGCAGUGAGAUGGGCAGGCUACAUUUGCUCUCAAUGAAAGACAUUGGCAACAUCUCCGCCAAGCAUGAAAUUUUGACGAAAGAGCUACGGCACUGAACAAAGUCAGAUUCCCCAGUCCUGUACUGACAUGGAGGAAGGAAAACAAAAAGAGAGCUUUGAGCUUGCCCUGAUGACUGUCCCUCAGAAAGAACGCCUCACAAAGCUUGGCCCCAAGUUUCUGUGCAUUGACUACACUCAUAAUAUAAAUGGCCACAAUCUGCAACUGAAGACUCAUGACAGCUGCAGAAGAUCAGUCAGGCAUGCCAUGCACAUAUUUGAUCUCAAAGUAACUAGACACCAAGGCUAUGAAACACUCCUUAAGGCCAUAAAGGUAAUGCAUGGGAGGAAGUGAUGGGCUGUGCCCAACAUUGGAUGCUCUGCUCGUGGCAUGUAAGCCACGACUGGGCUCUGAAGUUGCAGUCAGUCCAAGAUAUAAGCAAACCCGUGACCGUCUUUGCGACGAGUUGUGGGCGCUGAGAAAUUGCAAAGAUGGGGUCAAUUCCAACGACCUCCGACAGGCUUCCCGUGUCAGAAACUAAGUAAAGAGGCUGAUCCAAAACUAAUUCAACAAGUACAGGAGUUUCUUCAGUACUUUGGGCACUACCAUGGUGGCAGAGCCUAACAGUGGGCGCUCUGCUUCAGAAAGGGCAUUCCUUUUAAUACUACCAACCACUUGGAGGCAAUGUACAAGGACCUGAAGUCACGCUAAUGCAUGGAACUCACAACCAGAGGCUUGACAAGCUGUUGAUGAUCCUCUUCGAACUGAGCCGUGACCGGCUCUACAAGCGUCCCAAGUCGCUCGUAAAAGGAAAAACGAAUCGGCAUGAUGCAGCCCUUUUUCGGAGGCACCAGGAGGGGAUGAAAAUUCCAGCAUCAGAUGUAGAACAGCUGCAAAAUGGCAAUGGCUGACUUGUAAAGUCUCAGUCCCAGACAGAGAGAAGCUACCAUGUUGAGAAGGGCGACCCCCGCCAGAGUUGCGUGCUUCGUUGCAGGGACUGUGAUAUCUUUAUCGACAGUUACAAGUGCACUUGCAAUGACAGCCUGAUUUCAUCAUCAAUGUGCAAGCAUAUUCACGCAGUAGCUUACCUGGGGAUUCAUGUGACGACCGUGGAGGAGGCCGACACUGAGCCAGGUGUAGAAAUGCCAUCAACAACACGUGAAGCAACAGGCUUUACGUUAGAUGAUGAGCCACAGUCCCUCUUGGAUGACAUUCGGCAGGGUAUUGAGGUAGGGAUGGAGAAGACUCAACCAAAUUCAAAGGACAACAUAUGUUUAACAAUAAGUGGACUGAACAAGUCCCUCUCCAGGAAGAAAUUGACAAGCUCUUCAAGCUCCCUGGUGUUGAAAUACCGUACCAAGGCCCAAGAAGUACUUGACUCUGUUCCAGAUGAGACUUCUCCAAAACCUAGGGUAAUCCCUCACAAAAAAAAGAUGGAAAAACAACCACGGUACUUUCCCCCCCAAAAGACGCCCUGGUUCUGGUCCCAUGCAUGGCAAACCUCCCACCAGCUUGGAGCAGCAGCACAUCAUGCAGGGCCUUGUAGCCAGGUGAGUUCCUACAGAAGGAGCAGCAUCCGCUCAGCUCCAUGUGGAUGUUCCGAGCAUGUCUGUGCUGGCCCUCAAGGAGCAUGACUACUUUGCAAAUCAGUAGUCGUGACAAUUGGACUACAAAAAAGGGGCAGUAUUCUUCUUGCAAAAAGGAAUGGCGUGUUGGACAGCUUGGAUUUCUUUCCACUUUGGAGAAUGUCACGAGAGGCUCGAGCUAAAGGCAAGAGGGGCAUCUCUUACCAUCUUCCAACAGGUUACGUUAGGCGAGGCAUUAUAUGCUGACCUUAAUCGUAACGCUUUUUUAACAACCAGGGAUUGGCAAUUUUAUUUCAGUUGAUCCGGAACGGUUGUCUCUAAAUUAACGGGCAACCAUAGUGCCUCGAAAUGCUCGUUUAUAAGCGUGCCCCUCGCUGAAACCGGCACUUUUUUUUAGAUAGUAUUACUGCACGAGAAUGUGCAGCUUUUUCCGCUUUGGAGAAUGUCAAGAGGUGCUCGAGCUCGCCAUUCUCCAACAGGUGGCUUAUGUUAUCAGCUGGUCUUAAUUGGAAAAGUUUUAAUGGCCAGAGGUUGCCAAUUUAAUUUCAAAUUUAUGCAGACAGGUUACCUCUAAGUUAAUGAGUAACCAUAAUACCUCAAGUUGCCUGUUACAUGCUUAUUUUUUAUUUUGCAUACUGCUGCACGGGAAUGUGAAAGUUGCAGUUCCCGCGACAUACCAAAUUAUUUUAGUAUGUGACUUAUAUGCUUUAGGAUAUAAUCGUUUUCUUGCUAAUAAGUGCCUAUAAUCACUGUUUCAUUGUUUUGUGAGCCAAGAGGGAGUGACCACUGGCGACCACAAGCAUGAGGAUCUGCUACAGGAAGCAUAAUCAUGUUCCUGGACCUCGAGACCGGUGGCCUUGGAGAUGUCAGCAAGGCUACGGGGUGAUUUGCUCACCGCGAGGCUGUGCAAUUUAGUGGCAUGGAACUAGUGCCUCAUUUCGGAGAUCUCCAUGGCGAGUGAACAGUGUAAGGCUGGUGGGGCAAGAAGUUUAUUGGAAGGUUUUGUCAUGCCAUGGUGAUCAACAUUCAUGACAGGUUCAUCUGCCGAACUAGCUAUGCAAUAGAGGCAAGCCUGCUAAGUCACUGGGAUUAGUCGUCAGUGUGUGGCGCAGAGGACUUCUAGGGACAAGUCCAGGAGACGAACAUGCAAUAUUUAUAUUCUGUCUAUAUUUUGGUGAACCAAUGUUACUGUUGACAUUUAAGUGUGGGACAUUUCGCUUCUGCGGCAAAAGAUAUGUCAGGCGUGUAAUGGGGUCCCACAAAAAAUACCUAUGCUUUGUCUUGAGCUAUGUUCAUAGAGACAUGGCAAGGGGGGGCCAGAAGACUGAUGAAAGUUGUGCCGGUGAUGGUCACAGUUUGGGAGAUGUUGCGGAUGGCUAUGUGAUGGGGUGCUGUGACCUUUGAUGGACAACUGUUUCACUGAGUCAAACUGUGGCAGUGUUUCUGCUAUCUUGAGAGGCAGCAUGGUAACGCAUCAACACAGUGACAGAUUUUACUUUAAACUCAAAAUGGGGCACAGGAAUAAAACAACUUGCUUGCCUCAUCGAGGCACGUCUUCAAA
rnacentral:lncRNA from 1 species